rnacentral:rRNA from 1 species
UACGUAGGGUGCGAGCGUUGUCCGGAAUUAUUGGGCGUAAAGAGCUCGUAGGCGGUCUGUCGCGUCGAUCGUGAAAACUUGGGGCUUAACCCUGAGCUUGCGGUCGAUACGGGCAUGACUGGAGUUCGGCAGGGGAGACUGGAAUUCCUGGUGUAGCGGUGAAAUGCGCAGAUAUCAGGAGGAACACCGGUGGCGAAGGCGGGUCUCUGGGCCUGUACUGACGCUGAGGAACGAAAGCGUGGGGAGCGAACAGG